rnacentral:rRNA from 1 species
CUUUACGGGCCCAUACCCAGGCCCUGAAAUCACCGGAAAUUAA